GGCUGAGGUGGCAGUGGCUUCACCAACAUGGAGCUUUCGCAGAUGACGGAGCUCAUGGGGCUGUCGGUGUUGCUUGGGCUGCUGGCCCUGAUGGCGACGGCGGCGGUAGCGCGGGGGUGGCUGCGCGCGGGGGAGGAGAGGAGCGGUCGGCCGGCCUGCCAAAAAGCAAAUGGAUUUCCACCUGACAAAUCCUCGGGAUCCAAGAAGCAGAAACAGUAUCAGCGGAUUCGGAAGGAGAAGCCUCAACAACACAACUUCACCCACCGCCUCCUGGCUGCAGCUCUGAAGAGCCACAGCGGGAACAUAUCUUGCAUGGACUUUAGCAGCAAUGGCAAAUACCUGGCCACCUGUGCAGAUGAUCGCACCAUCCGCAUCUGGAGCACCAAGGACUUCCUGCAGCGAGAGCACCGCAGCAUGAGAGCCAACGUGGAGCUGGAUCACGCCACCCUGGUGCGCUUCAGCCCUGACUGCAGGUGGGACAGGACGGAGCCUCAGGUUUGCCUGCAGAGGCCCAGUCCCAGGCUUUGGCCUUCUCAUAUCUGCUUUGAGGUAGCGAGGAGGGACCUGGACCCAGGGCCU
rnacentral:sRNA from 1 species